UACGGAGGGUGCAAGCGUUGCUCGGAAUUAUUGGGCGUAAAGCGCGUGUAGGCGGUUGCCUAAGUCUGGUGUGAAAUCCCGGAGCUUAACUCCGGAACUGCACUGGAUACUGGGCAUCUAGAGGACAGAAGAGGAUGGUGGAAUUCCUGGUGUAGGGGUGAAAUCCGUAGAUAUCAGGAGGAACAUCAGUGGCGAAGGCGGCCAUCUGGGCUGUACCUGACGCUGAGACGCGAAAGCGUGGGGAG
rnacentral:rRNA from 1 species